rnacentral:lncRNA from 1 species
CUCCUGUCUAACUCAGGUGAAGUCCAGAGUUUGAAUUUCACCUCCAUUUCCAUCUGAGGCUAAGAAACCCUCCAAAGGAAGUACGCAGACCUUCUCUGCCACGUGCUUCUGCCACCACAGGCCCAAAGAAACCGCACCUACAGUCGUCAGUGACCAGCCUGGCAAGAGCUGAAAAACUGAGAUGAAGAAUCAGAGAAUCCUGUCCGAAAUGCAUGAAGGAGCCUUGCCAACUAGGGGAAGCCGGUCUCUCCUCCGGCCGACAGGAUAUAAUAAUCACUCACGAUGCAGUUUUGCAGGAGACAACGUGAUGACAGGCGUAUCCAGGCCACUGGUUUCUGCCUUCUGUCGGGGCCUGUCCUGCAGGAUCUUCGGAACCUGGGUUUCAGUCCCUUCCCUCCCUGCAGGCAGCCGUGGUGUGUACGCGAAACCUGGAUUAUUAUGUGACAGCUGAAGGGCCCCCUCCCCAGAGUCUGUGGAGUCCCAGGCUCUAGAUGGAGCGCCCGGUCCUUCACCCCAGGCUGUGCGGGCCUCACCCUCCCACGGGAGAAGCCAGAGUCGAAUCUCCAAGCCCAGAAGGAUCCUAAUGACUUCACCUAUAACCCCGGCUUGAAGCGAAGGGAGAAGAGGAAAGGAAGCUCUUGCCUCCAUGUUAGAGUUGCCAGAUUUUUCAAAUAAAAAUACAAGUCACCCCCUUUAAAUGAGUCUCCAGAAAACAAUGAAUAAUUUAAAAGAAUUUUUUUAAACCUUAACCAUUGUUAGUGUAUGGUUCAUUAGUAUCUUCAUGUAACAAGCACAGUGAUCUUUAAGAUCAGUAUAUUUUAGCCAAUAUUUGAGACAAACUAACAAUUCUUGGGCUGGGGCUGAGUCUCAAUGGUAGCGUGCCUGCCUGGCGUGUUCCAUCUCCCCAAAUAAAAGUAAUAAAUAAACAAAUAUAAAACAGCUCGUCACCUGAAAUUCAAAUCCAACUCACGUCCCCUGUGUUG